rnacentral:lncRNA from 1 species
AAAACACCCCUUGCAUGUCCUAAUGGCCAGUUGUGUUUUUUUUAACCUUAUAUUUUUAUUUUUAUUUUCAACUGCAGGGUACUCCAAGGAUUCUGUGUGGCCUUUACAAUAUGGUACAAUUGUCCUUAAAUGUGCUGGAGAGCACAAGAGGAUCUUCUGAACUGUUUCAAAAAAAAGUAAUAUGAGAUGCAUUGUGUGGAGGCAGGAGCGGCUGAUUUGAGCUGACUGAGGCCUCUUAAUCCAUAGACCAUAUGUGCCAGGCCUGCUAAUAUCCACAUUACACACUUUAUCCAUUGUUUGCAUCUAUUACAACAUCCUUGCCUUUACUCCUCUCCCAGCAUCAGUUCAAGGAUGAUGUUAGAGAAUCCCAUCUCACUGUGCUUUACCUUUUUUGCAAUGUAUCCUGAAAGCAUGCUCCACAAAGAAAAGGCCAUUGACAUUCAUAACAUCAACAGCUGUUCUAAAUACUGUAAGAUUGACUUGAGAGCUAAACUGACUGCAGGCUAUGGGUUGAAAAUAAGCCCGAGGUGUAGGGAAAAAAGCCCAGAGUGCUGGUGAAGGAGCUUUGUACAGGAUUGCCUGUCUAAGAUCCACUGGGACUCAUAGAGAUGGUAACUGUUUUCAUUCUUUGACACUUUUUGUGAUAUGUUAACGGCUUGUUGUCAAGACAAUACCUGAAGUGUAGAAAUAUGUGUACCGCUAGGACAUUCGCUUGACAUUUAAGAUCCCAUAUUGGAUGCUUCUAUUUACUAUUUUUUCUCCCUUUCAUUUAAUUUCUUUUCCUACAACCAAAAGGAAGGAAGGAAGGAAGGAAGGAAGGAAGGAAGGAAGGAAGGAAGGAAGGAAGGAAGGAAAAGAGAACAGAAUGAUUAUGAAACUUGAAGUUAUAAAAUUUUGCUUCUAUACUGCUAUACCUAUGAAGCUUAUGUGAAUUGUACAUGCAAGUGUUGGGGUAUGUUAUGGAACGAGAGCAAAAAGAAGCAGAGCUAACUUUGGCAGCAGAACCUAGUGGUCACCAUUUCAUUUUCCUGGAAUCACCUGCAUAUUCCAAGAUUCUGAUAUAUUCUAGGAGACAAACGGCCCAUACACACCAAGCAGCUGCCAUCCCCUUCCCAAGACCUCUGAAGAUGGUGCAGGAUGUGGCACAUUGUCAGAUGCUGAAAGAAAAUGGUAGGCACCAAGGCUAUCCCCUAUGAAUACAGGAUUCCAUUGAUUCUACGUCUUCCACUCCUACAGAAAACAUUAUAGUACAGAAAUAAGGAUUUAAAAAAAGAGGAAAUGAAUGUAGGAUCUGAAAUAAACAUGAAGACAUGUGUUAUUGAUGAAUAAUA